GUAAUACCAAUAACAUAUUGUUAUAAAAUAUAGUAAUAAUGAUAAUGUAGUGCAAUAAAAUACUAUAGAAAUAUUCUGAAAUGGACAAAAUAAUGGAAAACUAAAAUGCAUUUCUUUUCUAUGAUUAUGAUUAUGUUGAUCUCAGAUGAAGAUGUGUUUUGUAAUAUUAGUUAUUGAAGUUAUGAACGUGUGUUUUUGGUCUAUAUAUCUGUAAACACUCAGAACACUUCCUGCUGCAGAUCAUGUGACCAGUUUUAAAGUUGCAUGGUGAAUCCUGAGCACAGCCUGAUCUAAACUACAGCGUAUUAUUGUAUAAUAAUUCCAGACUGUAGUUAUUACUGUAUGAUUAUUAAAUAUGGUGUUUUAUUGUAUAAUAAUUCUGUAUUUGUAUAAUAGUUACAGAUGUAUUUGUGUUUCUCUGUAUAUUUUAUUAUUUUCCUCCUGAUUUUCACCUGUUCUUCAACACUCAGAACCCACAGGAUAGAAAACCACCACAGAGCAGUGAUUAGCAGUGAUUAGCAUGGUGGUGGUGUAUGAGGUGUUAGUGAGUGUUGAGCUGGUACAGUGAGUGGAUCAGAUACAGCAGUGAUUAGCAGUGAUUAGCAUGGUGGUGGUGUAUGAGGUGUUAGUGUGUGUUGAGCUGGUACAGUGAGUGGAUCAGAUACAGCAGUGAUUAGCAGUGAUUAGCAUGGUGGUGGUGUAUGAGGUGUUAGUGUGUGUUGAGCUGGUACAGUGAGUGGAUCAGAUACAGCAGUGAUUAGCACUGAUUAGCAUGGUGGUGGUGUAUGAGGUGUUAGUGUGUGUUGAGCUGGUACAGUGAGUGGAUCAGAUACAGCAGUGAUUAGCAGUGAUUAGCAUGGUGGUGGUGUAUGAGGUGUUAGUGAGUGUUGAGCUGGUACAGUGAGUGGAUCAGAUACAGCAGUGAUUAGCAUGGUGGUGGUGUAUGAGGUGUUAGUGUGUGUUGAGCUGGUACAGUGAGUGGAUCAGAUGCAGCAGUGAUUAGCAUGGUGGUGGUGUAUGAGGUGUUAGUGUGUGUUGAGCUGGUACAGUGAGUGAAUCAGAUACAGCAGUGAUUAGCAGUGAUUAGCAUGGUGGUGGUGUAUGAGGUGUUAGUGAGUGUUGAGCUGGUGGUACAGUGAGUGGAUCAGAUACAGCAGUGAUUAGCAGUGAUUAGCAUGGUGGUGGUGUAUGAGGUGUUAGUGAGUGUUGAGCUGGUAGUAGUCAGAGACACAAAGACAGAAGCUCUGAAUAUGCUGCUGCACAGUUUACAGGACAGUGUCCCACAGUACUCCUCCCUUACAGGACACUGCCCACAGGACUGUAAAUGGAAAACCAUGUUUCACUAUGAUGUUCAAUUCAGUGAUUUUAUAGGAUGAAUUACAGACUAAUUCAGUGAAUCGAUUUAGGAGUGAGUCGUCCUGGAGCUCCACCCACUGAAUCGAUUCACUGAAUCAGUUCAAAAUGACAUCUUAUACUGAAACUCUUUGAUUUACAGAAUCAAAGUCAAAAAAAGUUUAUCAAAGCAGUAUCAUAUUUAAUCAAACAGUCAAACAGUCAGAUCAAACAGUCAGAUCAAACAGUCAGAUCAAACAAUCUGAUCAAACAAUCUGAUCAAACAGUCAGAUCAGUGGGAGUGUAUAAGGGGAGUUGUAGUGUUUGGGCUGGUGGUGGUGGUGG